GACUUGGUCGCUCAGUUGGUAGAGCGGUGGGACAGAAUCUCUUAGUCAUGACUUCGAUCCUCAUUUGGGUUC